CACGUAGGGGGCAAGCGUUGUCCGGAAUUAUUGGGCGUAAAGAGCGUGUAGGCGGCCAGAUAAGUCCGCUGUGAAAUCUCGAGGCUCAACUUCGAGCUGUCGGUGGAAACUAUCUGGCUAGAGUCCGGAAGAGGAGAAUGGAAUUCCUGGUGUAGCGGUGAAAUGCGCAGAUAUCAGGAAGAACACCCGUGGCGAAGGCGGUUCUCUGGGACGGUACUGACGCUGAGACGCGAAAGCGUGGGGAGCGAACAGG
rnacentral:rRNA from 1 species